GUAAAGUUACAACAUCAAAUCAGAUUUUAUUGGUCACAUACACAUAUUUAGCAGAUGUUAUUGCGGGUGUAGUGAAAUGAUAACACCGUAGUCAGUGAUCUGUGGUUUGUAAUCCAUCACUCUCCCAUCCUGUUCUCUCUGUAGUCAAAACAUGGAGCAAGGCGGCCCAUCUCCUCCAUGUGUUUGAGGGACAUAACCAACCUGUCACCAACCUGGUCCUGCACCCUGACACCCCUCCAUCUUCAUCUCUGGCUCUCUGGACGGUACAAUCCGCCUCUGGUGCCUGGACACCCUGACCCAGCUCUGCAGUGUAACAUGUGUGAAGGGGGUUAUGGGACUGGGGCUAACAGAGGAGGGGCUGCUGAAUGCCUGGUCUCUGAGGAACAUGCAGCUCUACCAACCUAACUACUUCCUGGACUUCUGGAGCCACCUGCGCUGCCUAGCCCUCUCCUUCACACUGUGCAAGGCCCUGGACAAGCCCACAUACCUUCUCACCCUGGGGGAGGGCAACAGAUGGUAAGAAGUUGUGCAUAAUGCCCCCACACCCCUUCCACUCACUGCUGAAAGUCCUGCCUAACUUUGCCUAUGGCCGGGCCAGUCGGGCCAUCGCCCUCCUGCUCAGCUCCUGGGAGAUCUGGGUCUACACAGCCAGGACUGACCCAGUGUUCCGUGUGGCUAGGUUGGAAAUCAGGGAGAUGCAGCAGCUCAUUGCUUACAUCAUGCCAAAGGACAGGGCAUGUGUAAAGAGAACCCUGCUCCUUACACAUGGACAGUCCACCACUGACCUCAUACAGACCCUGGAUGAGAUGAUACCAGCUCCCUGCCUAACCUACCAGUCCCAUCUCCUCUCUGUCUGUCCUUCAGAACCCUGCUCCUUACACAUUGUUACGUUCCCCAGAUUGUGUGUUGUAGUUUGUGUAUUUACAUGUGUUUAUUUCAGGAAAUGGCUUCCUGAAAUCCCUCAAGCAGCUGAUUGGUCGACUCCAGGGCUAAUUGGAGAGCUGACCCCGCCCCCUCGUCAAGACGCAGCUGUCUACAAUUACCCAUUCCUUCUGAAGCUAUAUAAAAGCCAGUGUUCUGUUCAGGAGGGAGAUCUUUUUGGAGAGAGAUUUUGCUAG
rnacentral:lncRNA from 1 species